GCACCAGGGGUACCUCUCUACUGACUUGCAACAUACAUUUGUCUUGGUGUGUUGCAAGUCGGUGGAGACGUACCCUUGGUGC
ensembl:miRNA MIR4684 microRNA 4684